rnacentral:lncRNA from 1 species
AAGAACAGUGUAGUUCCGAUUUUGCCCUUGCUUAGUUUGUGUUAUUACAUGUCUGCCAUUCGGUGUUGAGUUAUUGAGCUGUCGUUCACUCUCUUCGACAGCACAGCAAGGAAACUCAGUUUCCUCCUCCAUUUGUUCAUUCCUGCUCACUUCAAUUUGAACGAAAAUGAUCCCCACCGAGUCUGGAGGGCUCCUCCAUUCCUCCCUUUGUUUGUGUUAUUACAAGUCUCCAUAUCUCUUCCCUCCGUGACUCAGCUGACGACGACGGGCUAUUUCCGUUUGAAAGCCGGCAAAUCGGACCUCAACGUUUGACCAAUCGUCUCCCUUUCAUCUCAGGAACAAGAAACAGCCGUUGCAUGCCUCGAUUUGUUACGGUUUCGAUGAGGAUUUUUUAAUACUCCUCAGAGUUUUCCUACGUUUAUGCGAUGAUUCCGGCGAAGGUCGUCGUCGAUGUUGGUCUCAAACUAUUCCUCAGCACCUCAGGUACCUUCUUCAUCUAUUGUAUGUAAAGAUUCUGCUUCAAAUAUUUGAUUUAAUAUAAAUGGGUUUUAUUUAAUUUUUCAUAUUUUUUUCCUUCAAAAUUCUGGGUUGUGCACAAAUUUUCGUUAGCAGGUCUCAAUCAAAGUUGUGUAUGCUUUGUGCAGAGAGAGAAAGCGGCUGGGAUAUGAGAAAUAAGCGUUUUUACAAAAUCUUAAUAUACCAGUGCGAGUGAAGUGUGUCUGUUUAGUACUAAUAUUUCAGUUCAAGUAAAGUUUACUGCAUUUUUCUACAAAUAGGUACGAUAAUGGUUUAUAGAUUCCCUAUUUAUAUCAUUGGAAUAUAUUUGUUCAAAGUAAUAUUACAAUGAUUUCGAACAAAGCUUAACCAUAAUAGGCAGUAGACAUUAUAUAUCUGCUAAUUUGUUGAAACUAUUGGUGCUCUAUAAAGAGAUAAAAUAUAUGUUACCCACAAAAUAUAAUGUGAAGAUUAUAAACUGUGAAGGGGAUCUCUUACUUCAUUGGAACAGGAACUGACGUAGAACUACGGAUAGAACCCCGGUAUCUACUUAUAUGUUGAGUUACACACUAAAUCUAUAAAUACUUUUUACAGAUAACAUGCAAAUUUCCUUCUUUCAGUCUGUUGUAUGCCUAUGACGUGAUAAACAUAUAAAAAGUUUGCGAAAAUUGAUGGCUCAUGUCAUAACAAAUACUUUUUCAAAUUCUAAGUUUUUAUCCGCUUUCGCUCUUUUUUGUUCAAUGGUUUCAAUUAAUUGCUUUUAGUAUAACAUGCCCAUAUGUUACCGGUUCUAUGUUACCGAGUAUAGCUUGAGGUUAUGAAUGUCCCUGAAAGCACCUUAAUUUUGUGUAUAAUUUAAGUUUUUGCAUUGUGAAGAUGAGCAAGUUGGCAUCUAGGAGUGCAUGUCACGUGAAGAUGAUAUUGGAGGCCUUACAGGUAGAAUCGUUCAGGUCAUUAUUUUGAGGAUUUGAUUUGAUUUGUUUUUUUUUUUUUCUCUUUAUUACUAAGAUUUUUCCUAACCACUUUACAUAUGGGGCUACCAAAAAACAUUGAAUUGGCACCAAAAUGGCCGUAAUUUUCAUUUUACAUAAUUUUUGCAAUCCUUUGUUGAAAUAUGCAGCACAUGGUAGGAGAUAAUUCUUCUUCAUUGUGAACAUUCAGGUAAAUCUGUCUUUCAUGGGUUUUUCUAUUAUUCUUUGCAGUUUUUCCCUGUUGCUUGCCAUUAAUUACCAAAUUAUCUAUGUGAACUAGGUCCAAGUUCAACUACUUAUGGUUUGGCACUAUACUAUAUGAUGAAUUCUCCAAUCGAAGAUACACCCUUGCUACAGAGUUUUAUCAAGGGGGAUGAUUUAUAUGAAAUUCAAGGUUUAACUUCUAACUGAUUCUUCUCUCCUCAGGGUUCAUGGAUUGUUAAGCAAUGUGUGGGAAGAAAGCAUGCCUCAUUGACCAGGCACUUGAAAUCAAUUAUUUCCACGAGAAGAACUAUUUGGAGGUAUAUCAAUUUUUAGCAUGCUUUUAUAUAUGUUCUUUGAUCACCCUACUUUGUGGACAGCUUAUUGACACUUCACUGAAAUUCAAGGCCUUCUGUUUUCGGGUUCAAUUUGUUAGAGUAUAUAGAGUUAAGGUGAUUCCAAGUGUCACAUGAUUUGUCUAUAUAUUUGUGAGGUUCAAUCAAUGUCAUAUGAAGAUGGUAGCAUGUGUUACAAGAUUAAACCAUCUCAGUAUAGUGUCAAGAUGCAGUUAGUGAGUCAGUUAUUUUAGAGGGAUAUAAUCCUCACUCAUUGUGUAGUAUUGUUUUUGGUAAUUAAUUAAUUAUUUUAAAUGCAAUAUCAUGAAUAUUUAUACUCAUUUAUAUAUUUGUAAAGAACAUCAGAACACACGAAUGUAAUAUAUGUACAUAUUAAACACUACUCCUUAACACAUAUAUUUUCUACACUUUCUACAUUUUCAACAAUUUUCUAAACCCCGCAGCAACGCGCGAGUACACUUGCUUGUAUUGGUUCUAUUGCUGUCAUUAAGAGCACAACUGGUAGUGCUUGUUGCCACGUAUGCUUGUAUGCUACCUUCCCAGCUUUUGGUGUAUUCUUUCUUCUUUUUUUUCGGUAACAAGCUUUUGGUGUAUCCAAUUCAACUAUAUUCUUCCGUUGACGACAAGUAUGACAAUAUAUAUGACAUUGUUCCUUGCAUUACAACAACAACA